GACGAACGCUGGCGGCGUGCUUAACACAUGCAAGUCGAACGGAAAGGCCCAGCUUGCUGGGUACUCGAGUGGCGAACGGGUGAGUAACACGUGGGUGAUCUGCCCUGCACUCUGGGAUAAGCCUGGGAAACUGGGUCUAAUACCGGAUAUGACCGACUGUCGCAUGGUGGUUGGUGGAAAGCUUUUGCGGUGUGGGAUGGGCCCGCGGCCUAUCAGCUUGUUGGUGGGGUAAUGGCCUACCAAGGCGACGACGGGUAGCCGACCUGAGAGGGUGAUCGGCCACACUGGGACUGAGACACGGCCCAGACUCCUACGGGAGGCAGCGGUGGGGAAUAUUGCACAAUGGGCGCAAGCCUGAUGCAGCGACGCCGCGUGUGGGAUGACGGCCUUCGGGUUGUAAACCUCUUUCACCAGGGACGAAGCGUGAGUGACGGUACCUGGAGAAGAAGCACCGGCCAACUACGU
rnacentral:rRNA from 1 species